rnacentral:rRNA from 1 species
AUUGAACGCUGGCGGCAUGCCUUACACAUGCAAGUCGAACGGCAGCACGGGUGCUUGCACCUGGUGGCGAGUGGCGAACGGGUGAGUAAUACAUCGGAACGUACCUUAUCGUGGGGGAUAACGCAGCGAAAGCUGUGCUAAUACCGCAUACGCCCUGAGGGGGGAAAGCGGGGGAUCACAAGACCUCGCGCGAUUAGAGCGGCCGAUGCCUGAUUAGCUUGUUGGGGGGGGAAAAGGCCGCCAAGGCGACGAUCAGUAGCUGGUCUGGAGAGGACGAUUAGCCACACUGGGACUAAGACACGGCCCAGACUCCUACGGGAGGCAGCAGUGGGGAAUUUUGGACAAUGGGGGCAACCCUGAUCCAGCAAUGCCGCGUGAGUGAAGAAGGCCUUCGGGUUGUAAAGCUCUUUUGUCAGGGAAGAAACACCGGCUCUAACACAGUCUGGGAAUGACGGUACCUGAAGAAUAAGCACCGGCUAACUACGUGCCAGCCGCCGCCGUAA